rfam:Bacillus gobiensis strain FJAT-4402 chromosome.
UGGGCGGUAUCCGAUUAUGGAGCUGCACCUUGUAUUGACGAAAUGUAAAAAAGCAGUCUGCCUUGAUCCGAAAAAAGAUGGACAGGGACAGAGGG